rnacentral:ncRNA from 1 species
AAAUAGAUGAGUUUGGUGAUGGCUCUGAUUGAAUGCUGUCCAAGUGCUUGACACAUGCUAAUCGAACGUUUUAAUUGGUAGGAGCGAAACGCCCUACAUAAAUUAAAAAGUGGUGUACAGGUGAGUAUAAUGAUAUUCUUAGCCUACCUUAAAGUGGAGGUAAAUCCUCCUUAAUACAUAAAGGGAUAUAUAAUCCUGCUUUAAGAGGACAAUAAAUAUCUUCGAGAUAGGUAGUAGUUAAGGUGAUGGCUUAACUAGCCUAAAAUUCUCGUAGUCGAAACUGAAAGGUUGAUCGAUCACAUUGGGUCUGAAAAAACCCCUAUGCAAGUAAGUACAGCAGUGGGGAAUCUUGGUCAAUGGCCUAACGGCUGAACUGGCAACUUGGAGAAGUGGGAAGUCUCAUUUUGAUUAUAUUGUAAUAUAUAAUCUAGAAGAUUGUAUUAAAAUAGAAUAAAGCUUUGUUUAUAUAUUGAUAAUGACAAUAUAUAUAUCCUGUCUUGACUAAUUACGUGCCAGCAGUCGCGGUAAUACGUAAGAGACUAGUGUUAUUCAUCUUAAUUAGGUUUAAAGGGUUAUUAGACGGUCAAUAUAGCUUCUAGAAUGUUAGUACUUGACUAGAGUUUUAUAUAAGAGGGCAGUACUUGAGGAGGAGAGUCGAAAUUCUGUUAUACCAAAGGGACUCUGUAAAGGCGAAGGCAGCCCUCUAUGUAAAAACUGACGUUGAAGGACGAAGGCACAGAGCACAAACAGGAUUAGAUACCCUAGUAGUCUUUGCAGUAAAUGAUGAAUGCCAUAGGUUAGAUUAAGAUUUAAUAAGAUAGUUUAUUAGUAAUAAACUAAUUAAUAAACAAUAUUUAGUCUAUAAAUGAAAGUGUAAGCAUUCCACCUCAAGAGUAAUGUGGCAACGCAGGAACUGAAAUCACUAGACCGUUUCUGACACCAGUAGUGAAGUAUGUGUGCGACAAGAAGCGGAUAUUAGUAAUACGGUGUGAUUCCGUUUGGUAUUUUCUCUACCUAACACUAUUUACACAUGCAAAUUAGUAAUGAUUUGUGUGAAGCUGUAAAGACAAUGUAGCCUCUCUUAAAUGGGAAUGUUU